AGCGGCAGGCUUAACACAUGCAAGUCGAGGGGUAACAGAGGUAGCUUGCUACUUGCUGACGACCGGCGCACGGGUGCGUAACGCGUAUACAAUCUGCCUUAUAUAGAGGGAUAGCCUUUAGAAAUGAAGAUUAAUACCUCAUGGUCUAUUAAUAUAGCAUUAUAUAAAUAGUAAAGCUUCGGCGGUAUAAGAUGAGUAUGCGUCCUAUUAGUUAGUUGGUAAGGUAACGGCUUACCAAGACUACGAUAGGUAGGGGCCCUGAGAGGGGGAUCCCCCACACUGGUACUGAGACACGGACCAGACUCCUACGGGAGGCAGCAGUGAGGAAUAUUGGACAAUGGAGGAAACUCUGAUCCAGCCAUGCCGCGUGCAGGAAGACGGCCCUAUGGGUUGUAAACUGCUUUUAUAUAGGAAGAAACCUUUUCACGUGUGAGAAGCUGACGGUACUAUAAGAAUAAGGACCGGCUAACUCCGUGCCAGCAGCCGCGGUAAUACGGAGGGUCCGAGCGUUAUCCGGAAUCAUUGGGUUUAAAGGGUCCGUAGGCGGGAAUCUAAGUCAGUGGUGAAAUCUUACAGCUCAACUGUAAAAUUGCCAUUGAUACUGGGUUUCUUGAAUUAGUGUGAAGUGAUUAGAAUGUGUAGUGUAGCGGUGAAAUGCAUAGAUAUUACACAGAAUACCAAUUGCGAAGGCAGAUCACUAACACUAUAUUGACGCUGAGGGACGAAAGCGUGGGGAGCGAACAGGAUUAGAUACCCUGGUAGUCCACGCCGUAAACGAUGGGAUACUAGCUGUUCGGUCUU
rnacentral:rRNA from 1 species